UACGGGGGGGGCAAGCGUUGUUCGGAAUUACUGGGCGUAAAGGGCUCGUAGGCGGCCAACUAAGUCAGACGUCAAAUCCCUCGGCUUAACCGGGGAACUGCGUCUGAUACUGGAUGGCUUGAGUUUGGGAGAGGGAUGCGGAAUUCCAGGUGUAGCGGUGAAAUGCGUAGAUAUCGGAAGGAACAUCAGUGGCGAAAGCGACUUCCUGGUCCAGCAUCGACGUUCAGGCACGAAAGCGUGGGGAGCAAACAGG
rnacentral:rRNA from 1 species